GGUUAAGCGACUAAGCGUACACGGUGGAUGCCCUGGCAGUCAGAGGCGAUGAAGGACGUGCUAAUCUGCGAUAAGCGUCGGUAAGGUGAUAUGAACCGUUAUAACCGGCGAUUUCCGAAUGGGGAAACCCAGUGUGUUUCGACACACUAUCAUUAACUGAAUCCAUAGGUUAAUGAGGCGAACCGGGGGAACUGAAACAUCUAAGUACCCCGAGGAAAAGAAAUCAACCGAGAUUCCCCCAGUAGCGGCGAGCGAACGGGGAGGAGCCCAGAGCCUGAAUCAGUGUGUGUGUUAGUGGAAGCGUCUGGAAAGGCGCGCGAUACAGGGUGACAGCCCCGUACACAAAAAUGCACAUGCUGUGAGCUCGAUGAGUAGGGCGGGACACGUGGUAUCCUGUCUGAAUAUGGGGGGACCAUCCUCCAAGGCUAAAUACUCCUGACUGACCGAUAGUGAACCAGUACCGUGAGGGAAAGGCGAAAAGAACCCCGGCGAGGGGAGUGAAAAAGAACCUGAAACCGUGUACGUACAAGCAGUGGGAGCACGCUUAGGCGUGUGACUGCGUACCUUUUGUAUAAUGGGUCAGCGACUUAUAUUCUGUAGCAAGGUUAACCGAAUAGGGGAGCCGAAGGGAAACCGAGUCUUAACUGGGCGUUAAGUUGCAGGGUAUAGACCCGAAACCCGGUGAUCUAGCCAUGGGCAGGUUGAAGGUUGGGUAACACUAACUGGAGGACCGAACCGACUAAUGUUGAAAAAUUAGCGGAUGACUUGUGGCUGGGGGUGAAAGGCCAAUCAAACCGGGAGAUAGCUGGUUCUCCCCGAAAGCUAUUUAGGUAGCGCCUCGUGAACUCAUCUCCGGGGGUAGAGCACUGUUUCGGCAAGGGGGUCAUCCCGACUUACCAACCCGAUGCAAACUGCGAAUACCGGAGAAUGUUAUCACGGGAGACACACGGCGGGUGCUAACGUCCGUCGUGAAGAGGGAAACAACCCAGACCGCCAGCUAAGGUCCCAAAGUCAUGGUUAAGUGGGAAACGAUGUGGGAAGGCCCAGACAGCCAGGAUGUUGGCUUAGAAGCAGCCAUCAUUUAAAGAAAGCGUAAUAGCUCACUGGUCGAGUCGGCCUGCGCGGAAGAUGUAACGGGGCUAAACCAUGCACCGAAGCUGCGGCAGCGACGCUUAUGCGUUGUUGGGUAGGGGAGCGUUCUGUAAGCCUGUGAAGGUGUGCUGUGAGGCAUGCUGGAGGUAUCAGAAGUGCGAAUGCUGACAUAAGUAACGAUAAAGCGGGUGAAAAGCCCGCUCGCCGGAAGACCAAGGGUUCCUGUCCAACGUUAAUCGGGGCAGGGUGAGUCGACCCCUAAGGCGAGGCCGAAAGGCGUAGUCGAUGGGAAACAGGUUAAUAUUCCUGUACUUGGUGUUACUGCGAAGGGGGGACGGAGAAGGCUAUGUUGGCCGGGCGACGGUUGUCCCGGUUUAAGCGUGUAGGCUGGUUUUCCAGGCAAAUCCGGAAAAUCAAGGCUGAGGCGUGAUGACGAGGCACUACGGUGCUGAAGCAACAAAUGCCCUGCUUCCAGGAAAAGCCUCUAAGCAUCAGGUAACAUCAAAUCGUACCCCAAACCGACACAGGUGGUCAGGUAGAGAAUACCAAGGCGCUUGAGAGAACUCGGGUGAAGGAACUAGGCAAAAUGGUGCCGUAACUUCGGGAGAAGGCACGCUGAUAUGUAGGUGAAGCGACUUGCUCGUGGAGCUGAAAUCAGUCGAAGAUACCAGCUGGCUGCAACUGUUUAUUAAAAACACAGCACUGUGCAAACACGAAAGUGGACGUAUACGGUGUGACGCCUGCCCGGUGCCGGAAGGUUAAUUGAUGGGGUCAGCGCAAGCGAAGCUCUUGAUCGAAGCCCCGGUAAACGGCGGCCGUAACUAUAACGGUCCUAAGGUAGCGAAAUUCCUUGUCGGGUAAGUUCCGACCUGCACGAAUGGCGUAAUGAUGGCCAGGCUGUCUCCACCCGAGACUCAGUGAAAUUGAACUCGCUGUGAAGAUGCAGUGUACCCGCGGCAAGACGGAAAGACCCCGUGAACCUUUACUAUAGCUUGACACUGAACAUUGAGCCUUGAUGUGUAGGAUAGGUGGGAGGCUUUGAAGUGUGGACGCCAGUCUGCAUGGAGCCGACCUUGAAAUACCACCCUUUAAUGUUUGAUGUUCUAACGUUGACCCGUAAUCCGGGUUGCGGACAGUGUCUGGUGGGUAGUUUGACUGGGGCGGUCUCCUCCUAAAGAGUAACGGAGGAGCACGAAGGUUGGCUAAUCCUGGUCGGACAUCAGGAGGUUAGUGCAAUGGCAUAAGCCAGCUUGACUGCGAGCGUGACGGCGCGAGCAGGUGCGAAAGCAGGUCAUAGUGAUCCGGUGGUUCUGAAUGGAAGGGCCAUCGCUCAACGGAUAAAAGGUACUCCGGGGAUAACAGGCUGAUACCGCCCAAGAGUUCAUAUCGACGGCGGUGUUUGGCACCUCGAUGUCGGCUCAUCACAUCCUGGGGCUGAAGUAGGUCCCAAGGGUAUGGCUGUUCGCCAUUUAAAGUGGUACGCGAGCUGGGUUUAGAACGUCGUGAGACAGUUCGGUCCCUAUCUGCCGUGGGCGCUGGAGAACUGAGGGGGGCUGCUCCUAGUACGAGAGGACCGGAGUGGACGCAUCACUGGUGUUCGGGUUGUCAUGCCAAUGGCACUGCCCGGUAGCUAAAUGCGGAAGAGAUAAGUGCUGAAAGCAUCUAAGCACGAAACUUGCCCCGAGAUGAGUUCUCCCUGACUCCUUGAGAGUCCUGAAGGAACGUUGAAGACGACGACGUUGAUAGGCCGGGUGUGUAAGCGCAGCGAUGCGUUGAGCUAACCGGUACUAAUGAACCGUGAGGCUUAACCUU
rnacentral:rRNA from 1 species